rnacentral:rRNA from 1 species
GACGAACGCUGGCGGCGUGCUUAACACAUGCAAGUCGAGCGGUAAGGCCCUUUCGGGGGUACACGAGCGGCGAACGGGCGAGUAACACGUGGGUGACCUGCCCUCAGCUCUGGGAUAAGCCUGGGAAACCGGGUCUAAUACUGGAUAUGACUCCAUGACGCAUGUUGUGGGGUGGAAAGCCUUGUGCGGCUGAGGAUGGGCCCGCGGCCUAUCAGCUUGUUGGUGGGGUGAUGGCCUACCAAAGGCGACGACGGGUAGCCGGCCUGAGAGGGCGACCGGCCACACUGGGACUGAGACACGGCCCAGACUCCUACGGGAGGCAGCAGUGGGAAUCUUGCGCAAUGGGCGAAAGCCUGACGCAGCGACGCCGCGUGAGGGACGAAGGUCUU